GAUCAGUUACAUGAUUUAUCAGUAUAAACAAGCUUGAGGUAUUGUUCAGUGCUAAAUUGUAACACGGAUCAAACAUAUCAGAUAAGAUUUCAUUCUUUUCCAAAAGAUGAAAAGUUAAAAAAAAACGUGGAGUAACUUCACAGGAAGGCCAGGUUUCUGGAAAAUUUAGUGUUGUCUGUGCGAAACAUUUUGAAAACAAAUACGCUUCCGGACGAAAGUUAAUUUAUAACGGUGUUCCCAGUCUCCAUCCUCCCCACCAUCCACAUCAACAGGAACAGCUAGAUAAUGGAGAGGACAUUCUUCUGAGUCAUGAACACCCUACCACUGCACUGUUCCCUCUCGGAGUAAUUCUGUUCUCCUACAGGGGAGUUCUGUUCUACCUCAGAGAAGUUCUGUUCUACCUCAGGGGAGUUCUGUUCUACCUCAGGGGAGUUCUGUUCUACCUCAGGGGAGUUCUGUUCUACCUCAGGGGAGUUCUGUUCUACCUCAGGGGAGUUCUGUUCUACAUCAGGGGAGUUCUGUUCUACCUCAGAGAAGUUCUGUUCUACCUCAGAGAAGUUCUGUUCUACCUCAGGGGAGUUCUGUUCUACCUCAGGGGAGUUCUGUUCUACCUCAGGGGAGUUUUGUUCUACAUCAGAUGAGUUCUCUUCUACCUCAGGGGAGUUCUGUUCUACCUCAGGGGAGUUCUGUUCUACAUCAGAUGAGUUCUGUACUCUCCUACAGAGGAGUUCUGAUAUACCUCAGAGUAGCUCUUUUCCUCCUGAGUCAGCCAAGAACAAGAGAAAAUUUGAAGAAUAGACAACAGAAGAAUUUUACACCUCUAGCUUUGAAGAAAUCCCAGAUAAUGGAUCUAUUGCUAACGAAAUUAUCCAGCAAUACAAAAAAACUUCUGUAGCUGUUGAUAAAGCAUAUCCUCUAGUAGAUAAAUCAGAUUCUGAGUGGAUUAAACUUCUUGUUAAUCUAGAUCAGAGCUCUGAAUACAAAGAUAAUGUUUUGACUUAUAUUUCUGGGU